rnacentral:rRNA from 1 species
GCGUUGUCCGGAUUUAUUGGGCGUAAAGCGCGCGCAGGCGGCUUGGUAAGUCGGCCGUGAAAUCUCCCGGCUCAACCGGGAGGGGUCGGGCGAGACUGCCAGGCUCGAGGUGGGUAGAGGGCAGUGGAAUUCCGGGUGUAGUGGUGGAAUGCGUAGAGCUCCGGAGGAACACCAGUGGCGAAGGCGGCUGCCUGGGCCUGGCCUGACGCUGAGGCGCGAAAGCGUG